rnacentral:lncRNA from 1 species
UAGGUUUUAUACAUACUAGUAGAAAUUGAUGCUGUUUCGUUGUUUCCAUUUCCUGAUUUGGUUUUGGUCAAGCGGUUUGUUGUAGCAGUAGUCCUCCAUAAAAGCGAGCCGGCCUUGUUGGUGGUGGAAAGCCAUUUUCUUUUCUUCGUCGAUGCACAUGGUUGCUAAAAGAUUCAUCAGGGUAUGAUUGGCAUCCGUCCAGCUCAUCGUAGUUCCUGGCUAAGGAUAACGUAUAACAAGCCGGGACGCCAUGGGAAGGCAUCCAGCCCAGCCAUCAAGGGCUUCCACCACCAAGCGAUCCAGGUUUAUUUCUUUCUUCACAUGAUCGAUCAUCUAUCCGUUUGUUGCUACCGACCUCAAACUUUAACAGAUUAAAAGUGCAGAUUAUCCAUUUCCUGCCGUAGCACGUCCACCAACCGGGGCAAUUCAUCAGACGACGCACGGCACGCACCGCAUCGUCUUCCCGAGACGCAAGUGCAGUGCGAGGCCGGGAAUUUUCUGCGGGCAUCUUCUCUUCCCUGCGGACGUGACGUGCGGCAUGUGAUCCAAGCGAUUCUGGGGUGGAUUCAUUUCCCGGGAAGCCGUCUAUUUCCCCAUCAAUACGUCGAGACGGCAUGGCAACGUCGGGAUGGUUACGCGCAGCGGCACGCUUGUUUACUGCUGACCGGGGGCUGAUUAGGACGGCGCGCACGGUGCACCCCGGAUCUUUUUGUUGGAUUCCCAAGUGGAACUCUCGGGAUUUUUCGCGCUGGAUUGAUUCACCCGCUCCGGACCCGAAACGAGCGGCUCUGUUGCUCAAGAGCGGCUCAGUGUUCCAUCUUUUUUUAGUGCUGUAGAGAGAAAAUAUAAUGUGUUUUGUUUUUCUAUACAAG